rnacentral:misc_RNA from 1 species
GAUGAAGAACGCAGCGAAAUGCGAUACUUGGUGUGAAUUGCAGAAUCCCGUGAACCAUCGAGUCUUUGAACGCAAGUUGCGCCUCAAGCCAUUAGGUUGAGGGCACGUCUGCCUGGGCGUCACAUAUCGUUGCCUGAUGCCAGUUUCCUCGUGAUGGGUGACUGUGCAGGGCGAAUGAUGGCUUCCCGUGAGCAUUGUUGCCACAUGGUUGGUUGAAAAUUGAGUCCUUGGUAGGGAGCGCCGUGAUAGAUGGUGGUUGAGUGACGAACGAGACCCAAUCAUGUGAGACCCCUACCGAAUUUGGCCUUCAUGACCCACAUGCGUCUUUGGAACGCUCAUGACGAGACCUCAGGUCAGGCGGGGCUACCCGCUGAGUUUAAGCAUAUCAAUAAGCGGAGGA